UGCUUCAACACUGCCAAGCCAGUCAGUGGCGUUUAGUGUUGUCCUCAAGAGCUGCUUCCUCACUCUUCCGCUGGGCUCCAUCUCCAGUGAGCAACACUAGCCGAAGGGCUUCCUUCUUAACUACAACACUGGUCAUUUUUUCCUCCUUCAACGUCAGCAUUUAAGCCUCCCAGCUGCGGUGGGCCCCCCCUCCCUACACAGCUGAGGUAAACAAGGUACAUCUGUGGGCCUGGCAGGCCUCUUGCAGCCUGCAGCCUGUGGGUGCACCACACCAAGGUCGUGGCUGGGCAGCGCUGCCACCAUGCUUCUGCUGCCCAGCCUGGGUCCCAUCCUGCUCCAGAAGGCCUCCCCCCUCCCUGCCCACGCUCCGGCUCCUCACGAGUUAUGAUAACAUCGGCAGAUAUUCCCCCUGCCACCCAGCCAGCCCUGCGAAGUUGCACUUGUGGCCUUAAUCCCACUUGGAUGUGUGCCCCGCUGCCUCCACUCUCCGUCACUUGGGAAGAAUUAUGA
rnacentral:lncRNA from 1 species